GUUGCCCCUCAGGUUCCUAUUAAAUCUUUCUCUCCCCCCCCCCCCCCACUCCCUCUCACCUUAAACCCAUGUCCUCUGGUCCUCGAUCAACAAGAUGUAUUAUAAAUCAAAGUUUUAUAAGUGGGAGACUAUUGUUGAGAUAGAGAAUUGUUAUGGAUAAAUCCCCUUGUAUUUUUAUAUUAUAAGCACUAUAUAUAUUGUGUGAUUUAUAAAUAAGAUAUAUAUACACAGGAUAUCCUGGUAGUUAUAUUGUAAAAUUAAUUUAAAAUGGUCCCUGGCUGUUGCGGGAAAGAAACAUUUUCUUCUCCCCACUCAUGGACUGUUUAAUGCGAGGCAGGUUUUUCUCCAGACUGUGAAUUGCAAUUUGUACAUCUAGGGAUAAUUCUUGGAAUUAUGAUAUUUAAUUCCAUUCCUCCCUAACAUAACCUUUAAUUAAACUUAAGGAGCUUCAACAUUCACAUUAAGUAUGUUGAUGUUGUAAGCACGUUCCUUUAGGAAGGAGAUGAGGAGGAAUUUCUUUAGCCAGAGGGUGGUGAAUCUGUGGGAUUCUUCGCCACAGAUGGCCGUGGAGGCCACAUCAGUCCGUGGAUAUAUUUCAGGCGGAGAUAGAUAGAUUCUUGAUUAAUACGGGGCAUCUGGGA